rnacentral:rRNA from 1 species
AACAUAAUAAUACAACUUUCAACAACGGAUCUCUUGGUUCUGGCAUCGAUGAAGAACGCAGCGAAAUGCGAUAAGUAGUGUGAAUUGCAGAAUUCAGUGAAUCAUCGAAUCUUUGAACGCACAUUGCGCCCUUUGGUAUUCCAAAGGGCAUG